UACAGAGGGUGCGAGCGUUGUCCGGAAUCACUGGGCGUAAAGGGCGCGUAGGUGGCUGGGUAAGUGUGCGGUGAAAGUCCGGGGCUCAACUCCGGAUCUGCCGUGCAGACUGCUUGGCUCGAGCGUAGUAGAGGCGGGUGGAAUUCCGGGUGUAGCGGUGGAAUGCGUAGAGAUCCGGAAGAACACCGGUGGCGAAGGCGGCCCGCUGGGCUAUUGCUGACACUGAUGCGCGACAGCGUGGGGAGCAAACAGG
rnacentral:rRNA from 1 species